UACAGAGGGGGCAAGCGUUAAUCGGAAUUACUGGGCGUAAAGCGUGCGUAGGUGGUUUGUUGAGUCAGGUGUGAAAUCCCCGGGCUCAACCUGGGAACUGCGCUUGAUACUGGCAGACUAGAGUGUGGUAGAGGGCAGUGGAAUUCCCGGUGUAGCGGUGAAAUGCGUAGAUAUCGGGAAGAACAUCAGUGGCGAAGGCGGCUACCUGGACCAACACUGACACUGAGGCAAGAAAGCGUGGGGAGCAAACAGG
rnacentral:rRNA from 1 species